rnacentral:lncRNA from 1 species
AGAAGGAAAACAAAAAGAUGCCUUAGUUCCAUGGAAGGCUGCUCUGAGGGAUAUUCUGCUAAGUGGCAUCCAGACAGAACACGGAGAAGCUCCUCGAUUGCGUCUCUCCCCUGCCUUAUUGUUUCCUGCUGCCCUUGACACUCCACUGUUUGGGCUAUUGCAAGGUUAGAAGGAUGCUCACGACCAACGAGACAGAGUCCUUUGCAUAUGGCCUUGAGGAUGUGUGCUUCUGAAAUCUAACAAGU